ensembl:lncRNA
GGGCUGAGCACGCCCCGAACAGGCCGCCGCGCGCUGCGCCCCGGACCCGUUGCCCCCGCCGGCCCGGCCGGGUCGGGCGGCCCAGGGCGGCACCUUCCUACUUCUGCCCGGCCACAGCCCUCCCCUCACAGUUGAGCACCUGUUUGCCUGAAGUCAAUUUCCAGAAGCAGGAGUCCCCAGAGCCGGGCAGGGGGAUGAACCGCGAGGGAGCUCCCGGGAAGAGUCCGGAGGAGAUGUACAUUCAGCAGAAGGUCCGAGUGCUGCUCAUGCUGCGGAAGAUGGGAUCAAACCUGACAGCCAGCGAGGAGGAGUUCCUGCGCACCUAUGCAGGCGUGGUCAACAGCCAGCUCAGCCAGCUGCCUCCGCACUCCAUUGACCAGGGUGCAGAGGACGUGGUGAUGGCAUUUUCCAGGUCGGAGACAGAAGACCGAAGGCAGUAGCUGCAAAGCCCUUGGAACACCCUGGAUGCUGUUGAGGGCCAAGAGAUCUGUGUGGCUCCUGGGCCGGCUGAGUGGCAGCAGACCCCCUUGCCCCACCUCCCACUUCCCCUACCCAACCCUGCCCUGCCCCAUCCCACCUCACAGCUACUCAGUGGGGCUGGCAUCAAGGGAGACACCAGUGGUGCGUUUAUGAUUGGCUUAAAGGGAUGGACUUGUGAUUGGCUGCAGGAAGAAACUUUUUUAUUUUUUAAAUCUUGACCAACAGAAACCUUUUAUUUUUAUUUCUGACUCUUAUUUUUUAAAAAAUUUGCGCCUCGGUAUCUGGCUUCCCUGGAAGCUCUCCGAGCUCUGGUGCUUUAGUUAGGUUAUUUUUUAGAAAUGUGAAGAGGUCUGAUUGGCUGCUUAAACUGGAAAGGGACUGUGAUUGGCUGGUUAAUGGGAAACGAUUUUUUCUUUGAUUGGCUGCAGGUGUUCUGCUGAUAUCAACGGCUUCCCUAUUUUGAAUGCAGAAAACAGGGUUUGGGACAUUAGUCGUUAUAUUUGACUUGAAAAGAAACCAAGUGCGCUUUGCAAUAUUUAUUACACAAAGAACUUGCUGCUGCCUUCACAUUUGGGGUUUGUGUUUGAUUGGCUUUCGGUGCGUGUGUUUGGUUUCCCAUUGGUUCACCCGUGACUCCUGUUGCCAUGGAUUCACCCCCUCUGCUGCCGGCUCUGGGCCUGAGGGUCCACCUGGAGAGUACAUUUGCUUUAAUGAGUGCACCUGCCUCCACCAGCAAGGUGAUCCCAAGGACCCUGAGCAGCUGGAAAGUUGGGCCCCCGAGGAGCUUGGUGUCGUCUUGAACCCAACAGCCCAGAGCCUAGAGGUCGUCGUGCCUGGAGUCAGGUGUCAAGGCCACACUGCUGGCUGCCCCCUUUUUGUACCUGUAGCUCCUAUAAAGGGCCCACACCUGGUGGAUACCUGGUUGAGUGUGUGGUCUCUGCCCCAGCCUGUCCUUGUCACGAUCACAGGCCUUGAUUUUGUAACGACGACGACCCCGGCCUGUCUCAUCUUCUGAAGAGGAAAAGUCAAAGUGUUGCUGUGGCUUCAUAUUUCAACUAAAAAUAUAUCUGUUGGAGAAAGAAAUUAACAAUAAAGAAUUUUCAUAGGU